GGACAAUAUAUCUGUCUCUUAAGACUAUUUGCUAUGCAAACAUCUUUGAAAAGGCAGGACAGAACAAAGCUGUUCAUGCUUCUUGCUCAGAAGAUGUGCAGAAAUACGAGAAAUCGAGGAAGAAUUGUCUCUCAACACCAUAGCCCCUGCUAAAGGGAUGGGACAACAUAGGCCUCAAAACCCCACUCCUCCCAGCCACAGGUGAUUGGACUGUUGGGCACCUGACUCAAGGCUCCUGCAUUCAGAGGUUGACCAGCGACCCGGUGCUGGAGGUAAGGCAGAUCUAUCAGCUUCUCUCACUAAUUUAUGUUGGGAAAUAGGGAAUUCUUAACAGGAAAUGGGGAGGUGAAGCAAAAGGGUUGCAAGAGGAGGGAUGUUAAAGUCGUAAGGAGUCAUGACAUGCUGAAGUGAUGAGGAAGCAGAAACUAAGAACAGUUAAAAACUGAAUGGGAGAAAAUACUUAAGAGUGGAUUGAAGAGGAAGCCAACUGCAGUGGGAGAGAAGGAAGCUGAGCCUCAUGACCAGUGGAACACCAGAAUGAAGUAGUCAUAGCUCCUUCCUUUCCUCAGGCAUCUUUUUACUUCCUAUCCCAAUCUGCCACCCACAUCAAACAUGGAUAUCCUUAUAACAACACACACAAGCCAGUACUGGAGAGAAUUUGAGUGAGCCUCUGUUAAGUAAGCUCUGGUUAUAAAGAACGGAAGAGAUACAAAAUAAUGUUGCAGCACAGUGACAGUAAACUAGUUAACGUUUAUUGAGUGCAUACUAUGUGCUGGGAAUAUUUUUGGGUCAUUUUACAUGCAACAUCUUAGUUAAUCCUUAUAUAAUCCUAAUAAAACUUAGAAGUAAACACUAUUAUAAUUCCCCAAAGACAUCAAAAGAUUAAGUAGCUGCCAAGGCUCACAUAGCGAGUAAGUAAGGGAGUCAGGAUUCCAACCCAAUGCCCUUAACUGCUUUGUUAUAUUGCUUACUGCAUAGGUGAGUGAGUUAAUACUCAAGGUAAGUACAAACAAAAUAAAUUUUAGUGACAUGACUAAUAGUUCUUGCAGACUAACCUUGUAAACUCAAUAACCCUUUAAACAUUAUUUCAUCGGAGAUGAAAACACUAAACAUUUGGAUCAAAAAACUUAGAAGUUGGUAAUUAUCUGUAUUAACAAUCACAGAGAAUAAUCCUGAAGACGUUAAGGAGAGGAGCCUGAACAUUAAAUUGAUUUACUCUCUUACCUGGAAAAAAAACCUGAUCUCAGCAGAUGCAAUUUAUGUUACUUUUAUAUCCACUGCAGACAGAAUUCUGCCUCCAUCAUUUUUUUUCUUGCCAGCCCCUAUGGUGUCCACAAUGUCAGUGACCACUGUCCGCACCUGUAAAUAGGUAAGAACAAUGAUGUGGUCAAAGGAAGCCUGUUGUAUUUCUAAAGACUGGUAAGGCCUGGGUAGAAAGCAAGUUGUGAUUGUCCAGGGAUAAACAUCGGGUCCCUGCUGUGUCUCACACUAAAUCCACUCUACAUGAUCUUGUUCUGUCCUAAUUGGUCUCUAUCCCAGAUGGUUAAUCCCUUUGGUUAAUGAAUACCUAUAGCCUCAUCAUCUCCAGGAACAGGCGCCUAACAGGAGCCUGAGAGAAUGUUGCCAAAGCAACUUGGUGAAAGAUGCUUGUCUGUUCAUUGACUGUGCUGAGAAUCAAUAAAAAAUUAAUGAUCUAAAUAACCACUAUAUUAGCUCCCUUAAGGAAGAAACAGUGGCUUGCCCAAGGUCUUACACAGCCAACCAGUGUUGGAGCUAGGACUUGAAUUUAGUUCUUCUGACUACUAACAGUUUUCUCUAUUAUGCCAAAUACUGUUCCUGCUUUCCUUUCACCUGUACUCACUGUAAUUCUCUGGUGAGUCAAGGCAGCAGCUACAGUGAGGUCAGAAAAAAUGGCCUUCAUUGAAUAGGUAGCAUUUGCCUACAACCUGCUUUGUCCCAGAUACUCUUCCACCAGCAAAGUGGGAAAAUAAUGACUUAAAUAAGCAGAGCAAGCCUUCUGUUUGUGAGUUUCUGUUUCUCUGCUACGGUUUUGGGUCAGUUUUAAGACCUAAAACUUGGCGUGGGGAAGCAGGGACAUUUCUGAGAGCUUGCUCUGCAGCCAGCACUUUAUGAAAAUAGAAAUACAGGAUGAAAUUUUUAGCUCUUUAAGGAUGACAACACUGAUUGAUGAUCACUAGGAGCCGAUAAUUGCCUCCUGGUCUUAAAGUAGGAAACCUGCUGGGUAAAAAACUAAAGACAAUGAAGGGAACAUUUUGUCUUAUAAAUUGAGUAACAGCGUUCUCUGGCAACUUGUUAAUGUCAGAGAUGAUCUCUACAAAAGUGAAGAUAAGCUUGAUUGCAUCUAAAACGAAUAUUUUUUCCUAUCAAAUGGGAAUACAAAUUUAGGUUGUUCUGGGCAAACUUCCUUGAGUUUAAGAAGAGGGAAGCUGAGGCAAUAUUUAUUUACAGACUCCAAGUUGGAAGGAACUAAACAAUCCUGCCAGUUGCUCUAGAGGUGACAGGCACUUGCCUUUUCUCACUUUUCUUUUUCCCUUCUUCCCUCUCUCCUGUCUCUCCUUCAUUCCUUCUUUCCUUCAUCAGCCAGGCUGACUGAGCUUAAAUCCUAGUCCUACCACGUUCUAGCUGUGAAGUCUUGAGCAGCUUACUCAACCUCCAUGUACCUGUUGCCUCAUCUAUAAAACAUGGACAGAUGGUUUUCUGUCUAGGGUUAUUAUGAAUGAGUUCACAUAUGUAAAGUACUUAGGAUCUGGCACAUAGUCAGUGUUGGGUAGGAACACGUUUUCCCCAUUCCUGAUGUUUCCUUCCACAUGGAAGGACUUCUUCAUUCAUUAUUUGAUCUAAAUCUUCAUUGACAAAUCACAGUAUCACACAUGGGCUCAUGAAUUUUGUAAUAUAUUUUUAAGUCAAAUUGUUUAUGUAGACAGGAACCCAACAAAAAUAUUUGCCCAGGACCUUGCGCACCCUAGAAGUGGCUCUGGAGAAAAGCAUUUGCCUACAGAAAUAAACCAUUUCCUUCCUCAGCCUAUAUCAGUAACAAAGGUGCAGCUUUGGCCACUAUCUGCCACUCCUUUCUCUUAUUCCUCUGUUUGUUUAGAAGCGGAUCAGGAAAGAGGGACACCAUUUCCUCAGAUCCCUCAAAGUCCCAAAAAAAGAACUCAAUAAGCAUUAGCUGUUAUCAUUUUUCAAGCUUUCAGGUUGUGUUUUAUUUUCCGUUUUUCUCCUUUCCUUUCAUUCCAAAAAGCCUCCUUUCUUUAAUUUUAUAAGCUCUUCUUUGGUCCCUGAGAGAUUCUUGUUUGUUUAUUUUUGUUUGUUUGUUUUUUACAAUUAUUCCAGAGAUCUGGACAAUCUCUAGCACAGAAAAAAAAAAAUUCUCUUCCUUCUUAGCAUCCUUCAGUAGUUGGACUCAGUGAAAAUUCCACUACCCCCAGCCCUUUGCAGCACUGCUCUCAAGGCCAGUAGGCUGUACCUGGGCCCUGACUUGAGAGGAAGAUCACAAGAGAAGAGCAUUCAGUGGGUUAAAAAAAACAGAUCCGAAGGAUGAAGGGAAUCUACCUUCAGAUUGGAACCGAAGGUCAAAGGUUCUAGGAAUGAAGGUAUUCAACAUGGCAACGCUGGAAGCAAAGUAAACGUUCAACAGCUGGAUGAUGAUAAAGUAAGUGACCUUGAAACCAAUAGGACAACAUGGAGCUCAUUACGAUUAUGUUUAGGAAGACCAGGAGGAGACAUGGAAUAGGGCUUAUGUGCAAUAAAACAGGAAAGGAGGAGACAAUUUAUAAAUGCAUGUCCUCUGAUUGUGUAAAAUUAGGCAUCUGUUAAAAAGACGGGAAUGAGGUAAUAAUAGAGUUAACAUGUUAGAGUAAUUGGAUAAUAGUAUUAGUUGUUUCUUUUCUCUAACUGAAUAUAAUAUAUUACUUUUAUAAUUUAGUAAAUUUGUUCUUUUCAAAGGAGGUACACCCAUGCCUUUCUCCUGGCUAUCUGCAGCUCAACAAUGAGGGACUUGGGCUCCCCAGGCCUCCAUCACACUAAACAGUCCUGGCCGACUAUGAUACCUUUCCUCUUUUCUCCCUAAUUUGUUGUCUAUUACAGUUUGCUCCGUGGACAUGUGAAGCAAUCUCUGGGGGUGGAGCUGAGGAAUCUGCAUUAUUAACAGUUUCCUGGGAGAUUCUUACACACACUAAAGUUUGGACAAAGAUUGCUUAAUUUUUCUGCCAAAAAUCUUAACCACACAGGAACUUGCACGAUCUAUGUUAUUUCUUGAAGCAAAGUUAAUCCACCGAUAUUAUGCCUUGUGUGUAUUUUAAGUGCCCAGUGAACACAGUUCCAUUUAUCCUCAAAGAUUUUUGUGUAGAAAUUUUCGAUUAUAAUUUAUUCAUGGUUUUUGCUUAGAAAGACACCUUAUAAGCAAGCUAUCCUGUCAUAGGAUCACUACUUUCUUUCCCUCUGUUUUGAGUCCUGCCAUAAUUAGGGCUGAGUGACUUUUCGGGACACACUUUACUUUGUUUCUUUGAUCACAACAGAGAACACAGGACUCUCGGGUCCUGAGGCUGGCUGAAGGGUUUCAGUUUUCCUUAAUUCUCUAUCAUUAUAGGACCUGGAAAUACCCAUGCAUGAUCCCACUGCUUCCAGCCCUCAAACUAAGAAUGGAGUCUCUAGUCGUGCACAUUCCUGGGCCUCAGGGCUUACAAGGCAGUGAGGCUGAGGUGGGGCGGCCUGUCUGCGUCUGCAUCCCAGCAGAGCCUCACAGGUCCUCGCUGGCACUGCAGGAAGGAGGCCCCUCUGAGGCGAGGAGUGUUCUGACCUACAAGGCUGUCCAAUCUUUUGGCUUCCCUUGGCAACAUUGGAAGGAGGAAAAUUGUCUUAGGCCACACAUAAAAUACACUAAUGAUAGCUGAUGAGCUUUAAAAAAAAUGCAAACAGAAGUUUCGUAAUGUUUCAAGAAAAUUUAUGAAUUUGUGUUGGACCACAUUCAAAGCUAUCCUGGGCUGCAUGCAGCCUGUGGGCCAUGGGUUGGAGAAUCUUGCUUUAUGAUUUUACUCAAGACAGAAACUAAGUGCUAACAUUUCCCCCAAUCACAAUUCUAUUUUACCUUUUUAAAAACUAAAGGGCAAGAAUUUUGCUAAUCUUUUCUAGAAAUAUAAAAACAAGCACAUAUGUUUUCUAAAACAAACCAAGGCUUUUCUCCUGGGGAAUUUGCAGACAUAGCACGAACUCCUUCCUCACUGCUAUUUCUUGAGAGGGGCUGUUAGGCUGUGCUGUGCUCUGCUUAAGGACGAGAGGCCAGGUACACAGCCUGAGAGGCCAGUCAUUGUGCCAUGGUGUUGUCAGGAGUUCCCAGUGUCCAUCUUGAUAAGGCUUUGCUAAAACAUACUGAUACAAACUUCCAUUACCUCCUGUGUUUCUAAAUAAACAUACCAAGUUAUUUUAAAAGACUCAUGUUUUCCUUUAUAAUCAUUUAAAAUAUCUGCCUAGUGUAAAACAACCAUCUAGAUUCUCAGAAUUCAUGAAUAAUACUGAAAUCCACUCUCCUAAACAGCAGCAGUUUCAAGUAAGUCGUGCACUAAACACAGUGUCCAAAUUUAUUUUUAAAGCUUUGAAGAUAAAUGAUGAAGCCUCCUAUGAGAUUAUCUUUUAUGUAGCGGAAGAAAAGAAUCCUUGAGGGUCAAGUUGCUAGGGCAGUCACAGAAGCCAGAGCCAUGGGCCAGGAGGUCCUGAGGCCUCUCUGAAGGAUGUGCGUGGUCAUCCACUAUGGGUACAGCUGGUGUUGAGAAACUAAGCUGAUGCACCACCUCUGUUGUUCCAAGGCUAGACCAACAGUGGGCAUUCUCUAGACCUAUUGUCUCCUUUACCUAUUAGGGGGAAAACCACUUCUACUGUGCAGGGAUCUGCCCCUUUAAACACAUAAAUACCACUUAAUCCACUGCCCUCAACAGAGGAAAUGACCACUGGCCUCCAAAAUUCGUUCUCUUUUUCUUUCUUUCAAAUCAAAGGUCAUGGUUCAUUUCGAGUUCCAAUGCUAUUUUCUAAAUUUUGUUUUAAUCCAAAUCUCAUGACUUCUUUCUCAUUCUCUUUCCUUCCUGAACAAUUCAGUGCUAAAACCAUUAGGUAGAGCAGAGCGAAGACUGUAUGGGUGCCAGGGUGAAGGAAACCACAGUGGCACAGAGUGCAGUGCCUGCAUCAGGACAGGGUGAUGAGGCAGUCCUGCAGAGGGGCAGCUCAGCAUGGUGUGUUCAAGUCCUACAGAAUAUUGGAGCCCAAAGGAGAAAAGUAACUUUACAAUGGGAAUGUCUGGCAGACAUCACCUGACUCAAGUGCAAAGUGAAGAAACAUCAUCAAUGAUGUUUCCAUUAAAUGGAAAUCCUGUGCCACCUGACGAGGCAUUUAGGACUUCUGUGAUAGUCCCUCUAAAGAUGCAUCACCUGAAUCUGACUAUGAAGAAACAUCAGAAAAACUCAAAUUGAGGAACACUCUGCAAGUUCCCUCAAAACCCUGGCAAUGGCAACUAAAAAGAUGGCUUUUGUGAGAAGAGCGAUUGGUGUCCACACCUGCUGGUGCUGAGCACAAGACAAUGCACAUGUGUUCUCUUGAACGAAGAAACUUUAGAAACAUCAUCUUCAAGGUGUCAAUCACUUGUCUACUAUAGCUGCUGCCUCAGCAUCCACGUUUAGACCCGGCAUCAGCUGUGUGAAACCCAGUCGCACCCUGCCACCUUUGGUCUAGGUGUGACUUCUCUUCCUUAGAGGGGCAUGAUAGAGCCCGUGUGUUUCUUUUCUUUUUUUUCUUUUUGUUUUUGAGAUGGAGUCUUGUUCUGUCACCCAGGCUGGAGUGCAGUGGCACCAUCUUGGCUCACUGUAACCUCUGCCUCCCAGUUCAAGCAAUUCUCCUGCCUCAGCCUCCCAAGUAGCUGGGACUACAGGCAUGAACCACCACGCCUAGCUAAUUUUUGUAUUUUUAGCAGAGAUGGGGUUUUACCAUGUUGGCCAGGCUGGUCUCAAACUCUUGACCUCAAGUGAUCCACUUGCCUCAGCCUCCCAAAGUGCUGGGAUUACAAGCAUGAACCACCAUGCCUGGAGGAGCCCAUGUGUUUCUCAUCUCACCAACCCAAAGCCCAACUCACUCCACAGCUGCUGACCAUGAGGAAACCUAAGGUCAACACCGGAGUCAGGCAAAUAAGCCAUCCCCCCCACCCCCACCCCCAUACACACUUGUUUUAUUUAAACUGGCCAAUCCACAACUCCCGGAGGAAAGCCCGUGGGCCUUCAUGGAGGCCUAGUCUCAAGCCCUCACUCUCCCUUCCCACCUGCCGGUCGAGUGCCCUGCUGUCUCUGGACUUCCCAUCGGCCCUCAGGGACGUAAGUCUGCCCCAGAGGAGAGUUGACACACCAAAAACAAAACUUCUGUUUCAAAAAUCCAGUCCCUGAAGGCAAUCGGGAAAAAGUGUGAAGAACAAGGGCAGAGCUUCCCAACUUUGAGCCUGAGUGGUGAAAGGAAGCAAGAAGAAAAGGGGUUUGUGGGUGCUGGGGGGAGCCCCACAACUAUACCCCCAUCCUCUCCAAGAUCCACCAGAACAGAUACCUACAUAAACUAGACGCAUUUGAGAACGAAGGCCUCUUGCCCCCGAGGCAGCAGUAACAGACUUGUAUGGCCCACAUGUAUUAGUCUGUUCUCACACUAUUAAGACAUACCUGAGACUGGGUAAUUUAUAAAGGAAAGAAGUUGAAUUGACUCACAGUUCAGAAUGGCUUGGGAGGCCUCAGGAAAGUUACAUCAUGGUGGAAGUGGAAGCAAACAGGUCUUUCUUCACACGGUGGCAGCAAGAAGUGCCAAGCAAAAGGAGGAAAAGCCCCUUAUAAAACCAUCACAUCUCAUGAGAACUCACUAUCACGAGAACAGCAUGAGGGUAAAUGCUCCCAUGAUUACAUUACCUCCCACCAGCUCCUUCCCACCACAUGUAGGGAUUAUAGGAACUAUAAUUCAAUAUAAGAUUUGGGGUGGGGACACAGCCAAACCAUAUCAGAGGAUGAGCUAGGGGUGCACAGGGGGAGUAGGCUGUGAAGGACAUGUAGUACCCACAUCUCUAGGCCUGCAGGUACCUUUCAGACAGGAACAAGAGGAACGUGGUAACAUUCCAGUGUGGCCUGGCCAGCAGGCACAGCCAGGUAAUGUAUGGUGCAGCGGGCACCAAUGUGGCAGGGGAGGGCCAAGUGCUCCUGUGUCUACCCCAACACAAAGGUGCUUCUCCAUAACCACUCCUACCCACCUCCCCCAAAAUUGGCUGAGUUUAAGUUUCUGCAAACUGGCAAAAUGAGGGCUUGAAAUAGAAAUUGUCUGUGGACUAAA